CACGUAGGGUGCGAGCGUUGUCCGGAAUUAUUGGGCGUAAAGAGCUCGUAGGCGGCUUGUCGCGUCGAAUGUGAAAUCCUGCGGCUCAACUGCAGGCUUGCAUUCGAUACGGGCAGGCUCGAGUUCGGUAGGGGAGACUGGAAUUCCUGGUGUAGCGGUGAAAUGCGCAGAUAUCAGGAGGAACACCGGUGGCGAAGGCGGGUCUCUGGGCCGAUACUGACGCUGAGGAGCGAAAGCGUGGGGAGCGAACAGG
rnacentral:rRNA from 1 species